rnacentral:rRNA from 1 species
GAUGAACGCUGACAGAAUGCUUAACACAUGCAAGUCGACUCGAGUCUUCGGACUUGGGUGGCGCACGGGUGAGUAACGCGUAAAGAACUUGCCUCUUAGACCGGGACAACAUCUGGAAACGGAUGCUAAUACCGGAUAUUAUGGUUUUUUCGCAUGGAGGAAUCAUGAAAGCUAGAUGCGCUAAGAGAGAGCUUUGCGUCCCAUUAGCUGGUUGGUGAGGUAACGGCCCACCAAGGCAAUGAUGGGUAGCCGGCCUGAGAGGGUGAACGGCCACAAGGGGACUGAGACACGGCCCUUACUCCUACGGGAGGCAGCAGUGGGGAAUAUUGGACAAUGGACCGCAAGUCUGAUCCAGCAAUUCUGUGUGCACGAGGACGUUUUUCAGAAUGUAAAGUGCUUUCAGUCGGGAAUAAGUCAGUGACGGUACCGACAGAAGAAGCGACGGCUAAAUACGUGCCAGCAGCCGCGGUAAUACUUAUGUCGCAAGCGUUAUCCGUAUUUAUUGGGCUUAAAGCGCGUCUAGGCGGCAAGGAAAGUCUGAUGUGAAAAUGCGGAUCUCAACUCCGUAUGGCGUUGGAAACUGCCUUACUAGAGUACUGGAUAGGUAGGCUGAACUACAAGUGUUGAUGUGAAUUUCUUAAUAUUGUAGGAAUGCGCGAUGUGAAACCAUCCUACUGUACAGAUUCUGAUGCUUAUAGGCGUAAUGUGGUGUACAACAUGAUUAAUACGCUAUUAGCUGAGGGCGAAGCUACAAUGGAUGUCAUGCUGAUGGAUACCGCCUACUGCGUGUGUGGAAACAAAAUAUGUGAAUAAUGAUUCCUUUAGGUGUGUGUGUAUGUUUUUUUGUUCGUAUAUGUGUGAUGUAUAGUGGAUGAUGUGAUGAGUGACUGCUGUUGUACUGUGUGUGAUUGUGUUCCUGUGUAGUUGCUUCUUGUCUAUUUGUUUGCGUUGCUGU